rnacentral:rRNA from 1 species
UACGGGGGAGCAAGCGUUGUUCGGAUUUACUGGGCGUAAAGGGCGCGUAGGCGGCGUGACAAGUCACUUGUGAAAUCUCCGGGCUUAACUCGGAACGGUCAAGUGAUACUGUCGUGCUAGAGUACAGAAGGGGCAACUGGAAUUCUCGGUGUAGCGGUGAAAUGCGUAGAUAUCGAGAGGAACACCUGCGGCGAAGGCGGGUUGCUGGGCUGAUACUGACGCUGAGGCGCGAAAGCAUGGGUAGCGAACAGG